rnacentral:pre_miRNA from 1 species
AGAUAAUUUUGUCUGUGAAAUGCUGUUUAUGUGACAUAUCACAGAUGCAAUUAAUCUGA